GAUGAACGCUGGCGGCGUGCCUAACACAUGCAAGUCGAACGGACAUUUUUUGGAAAGCUCUUCGGAACUGGAAUCUAAAUGUUAGUGGCGGACGGGUGAGUAACGCGUGAGCAAUCUGCCUUUCAGAGGGGGAUAACAGCCGGAAACGGCUGCUAAUACCGCAUAAUGCAUCGGAUUCGCAUGUUUCUGAUGCCAAAGAUUUUAUCGCUGAAAGAUGAGCUCGCGUCUGAUUAGCUAGUUGGCGGGGUAACGGCCUACCAAGGCGACGAUGCGUAGCCGACCUGAGAGGGUGAUCGGCCACAUUGGGACUGAGACACGGCCCAG
rnacentral:rRNA from 1 species